GCCUAGAUAGCUCAGUUGGUUAAGAGCGUGCUGCUGAUAAUUCCAAGGUUGCAGGUUUGAUCCCCGUAUGGGACA